rnacentral:misc_RNA from 1 species
GAAACAAUGCAAAUUUAGUUCCAACUAAAGAAACUCAAGCUUUCCUCAAUCAUAACACUUAAAAAUAUGGAAGAAUUAUAAGAAUAUGCAAGAAUUAUACAACAAAAGAGGUGCCAAAACAGUAUUGAGCUGAAAUAUAAUCUUUAAAACUGAACAUAGUCACAACAAUAACACAGUAAUGGCAAAUUGUUGACUAUGAAUCCACUAUGUGGCUGUCAUCUAAAUGUAAAGGUAUUCACCACCACGUACAGCAUUGGCAGCACCUUUCCUCUCUUCUUCGGCUUCCUUCUCCAGCUCUUUCCAGCUCUCAUAUGCAUGAUCAUCAGUUCGCAGCUCAUGCCGACAAAUUGGACAAGAAUUGUGCUCAUCCUGCCAGAGAUUGCUUUGCAUUAGAAAUAUGCAACUUCAUCCCGUUUACUUGUACAUUUGUUAAGUAAUGCAGCUUAACUAUUUGGCAGUACAGAAAAAGUAAUGCAAGAUACAUUAUACAUAUAACAUAAUUGUCCCAUUUUAUUGCAGUUAAGGAAUUUUACCAGCCAUGGCUUCAGACAAGGAGGAUGGAAUGUGUGUUUGCAUGGCAACUCUUGCAUCUUAUCAUCAACUACCAAAUUCUCCUUACAAAUUGCACACUCUGCAUCAUGUCCUAGCCUGGCCAAGAUUUCCUCUGUGAGAGUAAUGACUGGAAGAUUUGCAACAACCUCUUUACUGGCAGGAGGGGCUCUUGGAACUCUCGAUUCAUUGUCCAUAAUCUCAGGUAUAAUAGUAUCAAGGUUGCUUAUGAGCUCUUCAAGUAUAUUGGCAGCGUUUUCAGCUGUGUUAUUAGGUUCUACUGGACCUCCAGAAGAUUCAGCUCCCACAAGAGAGGCCAUAGAAUUCAAGAGGUUUGAUUGCACCAGCCAUUGAGGCUGUGGAGGCUCAGGAUCCACGGUAAGAUGCCCCUCAAAAAGAUACCCUCCACGCGACGAACUUGGGGAAACGUCGGGAGGAUUUCCCGUCAAAUGCAAAUGUUCUUUGGCUUGAGCAACGCAGCUCCUCAAAUGAUCCUUUUCAGAAGCAUCAGAAACCAAGCAUUCAGCUUGCUCAAACAGCCCUAACCCGGCGAGCCAGAAACCAGGCGCUGUAUAUCUCGUCUUUAGAAUCCUGGCUACUCGACAAACAACAGAAUAGAAUGAUUUGCGAAGAGAAGGGGAAGCAGAGGGGUAGAAAUCUUUAAGAAGGGAUUUGAUAGAAGACACGGCAUCCUCGAACUUCUGUUUCUUUCCUAGCUGUUUCUGCAAUUCUUCCAAUUGCUGUUCCAAUCCUUCCUCCGACGCCAUUUUUGUUUCUUCAAUUCCCAAUCUAAGAAUUCGCAAAAGCUUCAAAAAUCAAAUUUGCUCUCCGGUUUGUAAAUUUGUUGCGUAUAUUAAUAUUGAAUAAAAUCUUGAAAU